ACGCUCGACACCUACGGGGGCAGCAGUGGGGAAUAUUGCACAAUGGGGGAAACCCUGAUGCAGCGACGCCGCGUGGAGGAAGAAGGUCUUCGGAUUGUAAACUCCUGUUGUUGGGGAAAAAGAGGAUGGUACCCAACAAGGAAGUGACGGCUAACUACGUGCCAACAGCCGCCGGUAAUCUGAGCGGGCGUGGCGAAGGCG
rnacentral:rRNA from 1 species